UACGUAGGGACCGAGCGUUGUCCGGAAUCAUUGGGCGUAAAGAGCGUGUAGGCGGCCCCUUAAGUCCUGCGUGAAAUCCUGCGGCUCAACCGCAGACGGUCGUGGGAAACUGGAGGGCUAGAGUGCGGGAGAGGAGAGUGGAAUUCCCGGUGUAGCGGUGAAAUGCGCAGAUAUCGGGAGGAACACCAAUGGCGAAGGCAGCUCGCUGGAACGGUACUGACGCUGAGGCGCGAAAGCGUGGGGAGCGAACGAGG
rnacentral:rRNA from 1 species